rnacentral:rRNA from 1 species
GGACUACCGGGGUAUCUAAUCCUGUUUGCUCCCCACGCUGUCGCGCCUCAGUGUCAGCCACUGCCCAGCAGGCCGCCUUCGCCACCGGUGUUCUUCCGGAUCUCUACGCAUUCCACCGCUACACCCGGAAUUCCGCCUGCCUCUACAGUGCUCGAGCCUCCCAGUUCGCACGGCCGACCCGGGGUUGAGCCCCGAGCUUUCACCGCACGCUUAACAGGCCACCUACGCGCCCUUUACGCCCAAUGAUUCCGGACAACGCUCGCACCCUCCGUAUUACCGCGGCUGCUGGCAC